GUCUAAGUCAAGAUCCGUAAAUUAACCCCUGAUUAACCCCCCAUAGGGGACCUACCACCGAGUCAUAGUGAAUUCCUAAAAAGUCACAAGAACAAACUAUCCGCCGUCGAUUCACUCAUUCACCGCAAGCAGAGACAAUAUUGAUGACAUCAACGUGGGUACAAAAAAUCGAACCAGAAUUAGACGCCUCCAACUCCCAAGACUUACCGCUAAGCCACCAUGCUUGGUGGUAGCCUAUUAGUUUGAGAGUUGAAGUUUUACCCACCAUAUCUCAUCCCUCUACCACCGUGAUAAUUUUUUAUUAGUAUAUUUUUUUUUUCAAAUAUACUAUAUUGAAUUUAAAAAGAUACUUUUAUCAGGCUUGAAGUGACAAAAAUAAAAUCCAGAUACCCUGCUCCUCUUCUCUGUAAAGAAUCGAAAGGACCCGAACCUUAUGCUAAAUUGCUAAUCUAACAUUCUUGGAUUCUGAGCUGCUCCAAAUUGCAUUCAGAAAAACAAGAAGCUAAACUACCCAGGUAAUUCUUUUUUAAAUGAUCGAUAUUAACAUUGCUCAAAUU
rnacentral:misc_RNA from 1 species